rnacentral:lncRNA from 1 species
UGCAUCCUAGCAUUCCGAGUCACAAGUUCAGGAUCCGUAAGAAGGACGUGCAGAUGGUGCUGCUGGAUGAGGCCGCUAUCAGCAGCUUCCAGACAAUGAUGGGGGACUGCUUGCUCCAGCUGGACAUGUACCUACAAGGCGUGCAGAGACAAAUCAUUAACCAAUUUAAGUGGGACAGUGAGGACCCAGCUGCUGGUAGCA